rnacentral:lncRNA from 1 species
AAAAGAUCUUUACCAAUCCUACAACAGAUAGAGGCCUUAUAUCCAAAAUAUACAAAGAACUCAAGAAGUUAGACUGCAGGGAGACAAAUAACCCUAUUAAAAAUGGGGUUCAGAGCUAAACAAAGAAUUCACAGCUGAGGAAUGCCGAAUGGCUGAGAAACACCUAAAGAAAUGUUCAACAUCUUUAGUCAUAAGGGAAAUGCAAAUCAAAACAACCCUGAGAUUUCACCUCACACCAGUGAGAAUGGCUAAGAUCAAAAACUCAGGUGACAGCAGAUGCUGGCGAGGAUGUGGAGAAAGAGGAACACUCCUCCAUUGUUGGUGGGAUUGCAGACUGGUAAAACCAUUCUGGAAAUCAGUCUGGAGGUUCCUCAGAAAAUUGGACAUUGAACUGCCUGAGGAUCCAGCUAUACCUCUCUUGGGCAUAUACCCAAAAGAUGCCUCAACAUAUAAAAGAGACACGUGCUCCACUAUGUUCAUCGCAGCCUUAUUUAUAAUAGCCAGAAAAUGGAAAGAACCCAGAUGCCCUUCAACAGAGGAAUGGAUACAGAAAAUGUGGUACAUCUACACAAUGGAAUAUUACUCAGCUAUCAAAAACAAUGGCUU